UACGUAGGGGGCAAGCGUUGUCCGGAAUCAUUGGGCGUAAAGAGCGUGUAGGCGGCCUGGUAAGUCCGCUGUGAAAGUCCAGGGCUCAACCCUGGAAUGCCGGUGGAAACUGUCAGGCUCGAGUCCGGAAGAGGCGAGUGGAAUUCCUGGUGUAGCGGUGAAAUGCGCAGAUAUCAGGAGGAACACCAAUGGCGAAGGCAGCUCGCUGGGACGGCACUGACGCUGAGACGCGAAAGCGUGGGGAGCAAACAGG
rnacentral:rRNA from 1 species